UCCUGAAACAAACAAACAAACAAACAGAGUGAAACAUCAGCGGCUUCGUCCCCGUAAGCUGUUUGUUCUGACCACUGAAGGUAAUGAGGCAGAAGCCUUUAAUGGACUUGUUUGUCACAGCCGGCCUCAUCGCAGUUGAAACACUGUUUACACUGCAGCAGGCUUAACAACACUUUCUUUGUGUGGCGGGCCAAACAGGACUAACUUCCCAGAUGCAGUCUACUAGUUUGGAGUAUCUCAUGAGGACCUGGACGAGGCCUUCCUGUCGGACAUGCUCCUGCUAAACAGAGUAACAGGAUCUUCCUCAACAAUCAGACCAAACCUUAACAAAAACAUUCCAGGAAUUCCAGGUUUUUCACCAUCUGACAGCUGACAUUUCCUUUACAUAUGUUUACCUCAAGCUUCUCUCCAAUGAAAAUCUGCUUCUUUGUGAAGAACGAUUGUUACAUUUAUGUGUUUUUCUGAAGGGUAAACGUGUUUUAUCUGGGAAAUAACAGGUCCAAGCUUUGUGGAUGGAGGUUUCUACAACAGAUACAGACUCACGUUUGAGUUCCUCAAGAUAAAGUUAUUCUAAAACAAACCCUUCAGUGGAGUCUGAAGUCAAACCAAUCGUCUGCACUCGAGCUGGAUGAUAUGCACGUCUCUGAGUUUGGGAUAAUGUUACAGCUUUCAAAACAUCCUGGAGAAGCACUUCUCCAAAUGUCAGGUUGGGUGGGCAUUCCUACUUGUGUAAGCAUGCUUUGAAUGUGAUCCUUGAACUGGGGUGCCGCAUGCGCAUGUGAGCACUUGUAUGCAGGAAGACUACCUGGAUGCUGUAGUAUGGGUUUCCACCUGCGAGCUUCUUGUGUGUGCUGACGGUUAGUUGUCAGCGUACUCAAUCCGGUUAGUGACGCUUCAAAGUCUGCUCAUUCUCAUU